rnacentral:lncRNA from 1 species
GGGGCAAAAAGCCGCGACGACAAAAAGCCGUGGAGGGUAAAAAGCCACGGCGGCGGGGGUGCAAAGGGUAAAAAGCCGCGGCGGCGGGGGUGAAAAAGACGCGGGGGGCAAAAAGCCGCGGCGGCGGGGGGGGGGAAAAGCCGCGGCGACAAAAAGCCACGGCAGUGGGGGUGAAAAAGCCGCCGCGGUAGGGGAGCAAAAAGCCGCGGCGGCGGGGGUGAAA